AUGAGAAGAUGGGAGAGAGGCAACAAGGCAGUCAUUGCUUUCUGGAGACCAAGACUGAACAGACUUGGCAUUCUAUAUCUAGGUGGCUGUUACAAGGUGUAUGAUUUUCUGUUUACUCUGUUUUGGUAUGUGCCCUUUUAUAUACUUUUAUUCUCAUUUUUUCACAGGCUUCUGUUGUCUUUUCCAUGCUUAAAUAUAUCUGCUUUGCCAUAUAUUCUGGAUAAUACAAAACAUUUAUGUUUAUCAUGAAAUUAAUACUGAGUCAUAUGAGAAUUGUAAUCUCAUUCUUGAGUACAUGAACCUGAAAUCUUAUCUGCUGUAACAAUGAAAAGGUGAAGUUACAAUGAAACAUCCUUGUUGAUGCUGAGCUAGGGUUUCUAACUUUCUUUGUAUCAGAGCUGAAAAUUAUAGAAAGAGAAAAUGUUGCUCUGUUAUUUCUCUAGACAAUUCAAGGUCCAGCCUCAACAAUUCAGAGAUAUUUUUGAGUAACACUGUGAGGUUCAUUAAAACUAAGAGAUCUCUGUAUAGCUUGUUAUAGUAGACUGCUGUUCUCAUAUGGGGGAUUUUUUGUAUUUUACACAUAAAAUAAUGCUGAAGUUGAUAAUGGACCUAGAGAAUUGCACUGCAUAGCCUCUGCCUCGUGUUUUGUCCAGUCUGUGAAACUAAGGGUUCAGGGUCCUGUGAGAGGAGUUCUGAUAUAUACACACAGUUACUGUUGAGCAAGGAAUUUAAUUUUCUGACCUUUGAAUAGCUCUCUUUGCAUCCUAAACUGUCAUUUUAUGUAACUGUGUUAUAGGAAUAGGUCAUUUUUCAUGAAGUUAGGACUCAUUAAUUCUGUUAAGUGCAGUGAUGUGUGAGAUGACGGCAGUAUUCCAUGCCAAGUAGUAUAUGAAUUCUGAGAGAGGGAUGCUGCAGCAUUAUUUGAUGUCCAAAGCCAUUUUUUAAUUAGAAAGCAGAGCAGUAAUGAUACAUGAUAGUUUUGACCAAGGAGUUGAUAGAUUGGGCCUAGCAUCACUGGCAGCACAGA
rnacentral:lncRNA from 1 species